rnacentral:rRNA from 1 species
AACGAACGCUGGCGGCGUGCCUAACACAUGCAAGUCGAGCGCGAAAAGGGCAACCUGAGUAGAGCGGCGCACGGGUGCGUAACACGUGGGUAAUCUGCCUUAGAGUCGAGGAUAACCUUCCGAAAGGUUGGCUAAUACUCGGUAAGCUUACGGUGUCUUCGGACGCUGUGGGAAAAGUAGGCAUCUGUUUACAAGCUUACGCUCUGAGAGGAGCCCGCGGCCCAUCAGCUAGUUGGCGGUGUAACGGACCACCAAGGCAACGACGGGUAGCUGGUCUGAGAGGACGAUCAGCCACACUGGAACUGAGACACGGUCCAGACUCCUACGGGAGGCAGCAGUGGGGAAUUUUGGACAAUGGGCGCAAGCCUGAUCCAGCCAUGCCGCGUGUCUGAAGAAGGCCUUCGGGUUGUAAAGGACUUUUGUCAGGAAGGAAAUCCUAGUGGCUAAUAACUGCUAGGGAUGACAGUACCUGAAGAAUAAGCACCGGCUAACUACGUGCCAGCAGCCGCCGUAACAC